rnacentral:rRNA from 1 species
UACGUAGGGGGCAAGCGUUGUCCGGAUUCAUUGGGCGUAAAGAGCGUGUAGGCGGCCAGGCAGGUCCGCUGUGAAAACUCGAGGCUCAACCUCGAGAUGUCGGUGGAAACCGUCUGGCUAGAGUCCGGAAGAGGAGAGUGGAAUUCCCGGUGUAGCGGUGAAAUGCGCAGAUAUCGGGAAGAACACCGGUGGCGAAGGCGGCAUCCUGGACCAAUUCUGACGCUGAGGAGCGAAAGCCAGGGGAGCAAACGGG